rnacentral:lncRNA from 1 species
GCGGCCGAUGUUUUGUCUCUUUCUAAGCAUUUGAUUGGUCGUUGAUCAAUUGCUCGGUCAUGUCAAAUAAACUCCAUCCGAUUAACAAAAAUAAUAUCAUCUAAAUAAAUGUACAAUAAAUAUGCACCUGGUUUACGGUUAACAGCGUUAGAAACCUUUUCUUGAUGCAAAGGAUGGGAGCCAGAAUCAAAGAAGUUAAUCAAAGGAUGGAGAUAUAUAUUUAUUCCUAUAUGUACCGUAUGUAAUUUAUGUACAUACCUAUGUUUACUACUUAACUCGUGUAUCUUCAGUCAACGCUCAUAUCUUCGUUCCCAAAGAAAAUACAGCUGACAUAUAAAAAUAAGCUCUUAACUGACGUUAGAUUUCCGUGUUUUUUUUAAAUACAGUGUAUUUGCAGAGGAAAACCCAGACCUUUCUACACAAAAAUACUACUUUAGCCGGUUUUGAAUGAGCUUCGUUUUUUUAUUCUUGAUCGUUUGUCGCGGAAGACGUGCUCAUUUGGUAUGGAAAUAUUGUGUUUUAUUGUAACGACUUGUAUCAACUGCAAAAGGUGAAUUUGGGGAGAAAAAUGCUGGAAUUACCAUACUCUAAAUUGCCAAAGGUAUGUGCACCUUGUUGACUUUAAUUAAGAAACGAAAU